AACAGGAUUAGAUACCCUGGUAGUCCACGCCGUAAACGAUGUCGACUUGGAGGUUGUUCCCUUGAGGAGUGGCUUCCGGAGCUAACGCGUUAAGUCGACCGCCUGGGGAGUACGGCCGCAAGGUUAAAACUCAAAUGAAUUGACGGGGGCCCGCACAAGCGGUGGAGCAUGUGGUUUAAUUCGAUGCAACGCGAAGAACCUUACCUACUCUUGACAUCCAGAGAACUUGGCAGAGAUGCCUUGGUGCCUUCGGGAACUCUGAGACAGGUGCUGCAUGGCUGUCGUCAGCUCGUGUUGUGAAAUGUUGGGUUAAGUCCCGCAACGAGCGCAACCCUUAUCCUUUGUUGCCAGCGAUUCGGUCGGGAACUCAAAGGAGACUGCCGGUGAUAAACCGGAGGAAGGUGGGGAUGACGUCAAGUCAUCAUGGCCCUUACGAGUAGGGCUACACACGUGCUACAAUGGCGCAUACAAAGAGAAGCGACCUCGCGAGAGCAAGCGGACCUCAUAAAGUGCGUCGUAGUCCGGAUCGGAGUCUGCAACUCGACUCCGUGAAGUCGGAAUCGCUAGUAAUCGUGGAUCAGCAUGCCACGGUGAAUACGUUCCCGGGCCUUGUACACACCGCCCGUCACACCAUGGGAGUUGGUUCUACCCGAAGGCGUUGCGCUAACCGCAAGGAGGCAGGCGACCACGGUAGGGUCAGCGACUGGGGUGAAGUCGUAACAAGGUA
rnacentral:rRNA from 1 species